UUCAACAAUCAAGUACCGUCUCUUUGCAUCUGGACAGAAUCUGUCUCUAUACCGUCAUUUUCUUUUGAGCUACGUUUCAGAAUGGUUCGUAGCAAUCUUGUUUUGAUUCGUGACCUGCCAAGAUGGUGCUGCGCUCCCACAAUGCAUUGCGACAUUACGUCAACUCCAAAGCCCUUUGCGUGCAGGAGUGUAUGCGCAUGCGCAUUGCCACGGUGGUUUAAAAAAUAAAGAUAUAAUGAAAAGUAAUUAAUAAAAAUUAAAUAUUUAAACAUUCCCACAAAUGUGCAAUGAACGUGCAAAAACUCUCUUUAGUAGUUGUUGCUGUUUCUUUCUUUCUUCUUUUUUUUUUUUUUUUGAAAAAUAACGACGUCUCUGAGGCGCGAAAUCUGACAGCGAGAGGAACGGCCGGAUACAGGAGACGGGAAGAAACAAGCCGAUUAUGUUCGCGUUAAUUAAGUGGUUGGAAGAUGUAAAAUUCUCAAUUCUGCCAACUGAACAUAUACGAGAUUUUAAUGAGGAUGAAUAAUUAGCCGGCAUGGAGGAAACGGACCUUUAUUUCGUGGAGUGGCGACAAGAAGCCAAGGCGGGUGGCCAGUCUAAGAAGCCUCCAUCAUCAAGCUAGCAGAAAUCCUACCUCUCCUUCUGGCUACAGAGUACUUACCAAGCCCAUGAAAUCGAAUGCAGAUCUUCCUAAUGUGAGAUUUACAUAAAUAUGUCAAAGUCUCAACCUCAUGCUGCCCUCCC